UAACAGGAACAUCCUAGAGAGGUCCUGAGCCACAAGAGCUUACAAUCUACAAAACAGGGACAUCAUAGAGAAGACCUGACACAAGAGCUUACACUCUACAUAACAGAUAUAUACAUGAGGACAUCAUAGAGAAGACCUGACACAAGAGAUUACACUCUACAUGACAGAUACAUGAGGAACGUCUUAGAGAAGACCAGACACAAGAGCUUACAGUCUACAUUACAUAUAUACACAUGAGGACAUCAUGGAGAAGACCUGAC